UUUUUUUUUUUGAACUAUAUUAUCGAAAAACACAGCUGAUAAUGGGAUAGUCGUGUUGUGAAUGAUUUCGAUAUUUUUGUUGAUGAACCGAAGCGAUAUUUUUAACUGUCGGUUUUAGAACGGGUGAAAGAGAUGUUUUUUUUUCUUUUUUUGAUAUUUCCAAACCGUGUUACGUACUACCCACCACUCAAAAAAUUAACAUUUUUUUUUUUACUCGAUAUUAUAUUUCAUGAAAAUUCCAUCGGCCUAUACACGUGGUAAAUAAAAAAUAAUAAUAUCCUUCGUGAUAGAUGUUUCGUAUUUACACGGAAGUUCAAUUAUAAUAAAAUAAUAUUCAUUACGCAGCUCAGAUCCCCAUACGCGGCAUCGACUCUGAUGACGAUAACACGAUAACAACGAUAAUUUGUGUGACCUAUCUAUACCGUAUUAAAAUCAGUAGAAAAAAAAAACAAACGAAUAUGCUUUGCAUGAUGACGUGGGCCACUAGUAGGUGAAAAGUUGAAAAGAUUGAAGUAAAUUUAAUUUAUAUCUGUAUGCAACGAUUAAUUAUUGCUAACGAAAAACGAUUCUGAGCGAAGUUCAGUUACAAGUGUUUUAAAAGGCCGUAAUAUUUACAGUUUGAAAAUAAGUACAUUUCGUAAAUUUUCCCGUUUUUCAUACGUUUUUUCUCGGUUUUUUCAUUUAUUAUGGAAACUCCUGGGGAACUCAAAAAAUGAUCUCCUUAGAGUUAGAUUUCCUUUCAGAAAACGUGCUAUACUUGAAAAUCAAAGUAAAAUAUCUGGUAGAAAAAUUGUUGAAAGAGAAAAAAAAUGAUAAAAUCAAUACAUUCCUCGCUCCGUUCAGAAUUUAAAAUUUCUAUCAAUGCACUUGUUUAUUUUUCUCCACCCCCUGUUA